rnacentral:rRNA from 1 species
GCUAGCGGCAGGCCUAAUACAUGCAAGUCGAGGGGUAGAGCUAGCUUGCUGGCUUGAGACCGGCGCACGGGUGCGUAACGCGUAUGCAACCUACCCUUUUCUGGGGGAUAGCCCGGAGAAAUCCGGAUUAAUACCGCAUAAGACCACACGGCGGCAUCGUCGAGGGGUCAAACAUUUAUGGGAGAAGGAUGGGCAUGCGUGCCAUUAGCUAGUUGGCGGGGUAACGGCCCACCAAGGCGACGAUGGCUAGGGGAUCUGAGAGGAUGGCCCCCCACACUGGUACUGAGACACGGACCAGACUCCUACGGGAGGCAGCAGUAAGGAAUAUUGGUCAAUGGGCGCAAGCCUGAACCAGCCAUGCCGCGUGCAGGAAGACGGCCCUCUGGGUUGUAAACUGCUUUUGUACGGGAAUAAACCUCGCUACGUGUAGCGAGCUGAAUGUACCGUAAGAAUAAGGAUCGGCUAACUCCGUGCCAGCAGCCGCGGUAAUACGGAGGAUCCAAGCGUUAUCCGGAUUUAUUGGGUUUAAAGGGUGCGUAGGCGGCCUGUUAAGUCAGGGGUGAAAGACGGUGGCUCAACCAUCGCAGUGCCCUUGAUACUGAUGGGCUUGAAUAAACUAGAGGUAGGCGGAAUGUGACAAGUAGCGGUGAAAUGCAUAGAUAUGUCACAGAACACCGAUUGCGAAGGCAGCUUACUAUGGUUUGAUUGACGCUGAGGCACGAAAGCGUGGGGAUCGAACAGGAUUAGAUACCCUGGUAGUC